rnacentral:rRNA from 1 species
AACGAACGCUGGCGGCAUGCCUAACACAUGCAAGUCGAACGAGACCUUCGGGCCUAGUGGCGCACGUGUGCGUAACGCGUGGGAACCUGCCCUUAGGUUCGGAAUAACUCCCCGAAAGGGGUGCUAAUACCGGAUAAUGUCUUCGGGCCAAAGAUUUAUUGCCUUUGGAUGGGCCCGCGUUGGAUUCGCUGGUUGGUAGGGUAAAAGCCUGCCAAGGCGACGAUCCAUAGCUGGUCUGUGAGGAUGAUCAGCCACGCUGGGAAUGAGACACGGCCCAGACUCCUACGGGAGGGAGCAGUAGGGAGUAUUGGAGGAGGGGGGAAAGCGUGAUCCAGCAGUGCCGGGUGAGUGAUGAAGGGCGUAGGGUUGUAAAGUUGUUUUAGCCGGGAUGAUAAUGACAGUACCGGGUGAAGAAGCUCCGGCUAACUCCGUG